rnacentral:misc_RNA from 1 species
UUGUUCAUUCAGUCAUUUAUUUUCAUGUAGUUUAAAAUCUUCAUUUUUGUAAUAUUUUUUAAUUUGCAAGUUCUGAAACAAAAUGACUGAAUGAACAAGUUCCUUUACAUGACCUGACUUGUAUUUCAUCUACAAGAUGCAUGAAAAAUUACUAGCAUCUUAUAGAUUGCCAAGAAAUAGGUGACAAUAAAGAAGAAAAAUUGAAUCUAACAAAACCCUAGGUUUUUGAUAACUGUCUCCUGAUGAUACAAAUUUCUCCUUUUUUUCUGGUCUUGAACACAAGCCAAGAGAACUUUCCUGAGCCAUAAUUUUCAUUAUUUCAUCAAUCUUCUGCCAAGAGGGAACCUCAAAAGCCAGUUACCAAACAUAGGAUUUUAGAUGCAAUUCAAAAGAUUGCAUCUCCUAACCAAUUAUACCGGGAUCAUCUUUAAAACAGCAGCAAUUGGCAUGCCUAUAAAUCCAAUGAAUACACUAAGGAACCAUUGUGACAA